rnacentral:lncRNA from 1 species
CUUUACUUGUAUAAGCCACAGAGACAGAAGCUAAGCCUGUUGCCCAGCUGUGGUUCGGUUGGUCCGUGAUAGGCCCUGAGCGGUUAGCCUUGGUUUCAGAUAUGUAUGGGGAUGCUGAAACUCCAAGAAGCAUAGUGACUUUUAGAAAGUAC